GAAUUAAUAUUUAGUUUGACCUGCCCACUGAAAUAUUAAAGGGCUGCGGUAAUUUGACCGUGCUAAGGUAGCAUAAUCAAUAGACUUUUAAUUGGAGUCUUGAAUGAAAGGUUUGACGGAGGAAAAGCUGUCUGUGGUAGAUUUAUAUUGAAUUUAACUUUUGUGUGAAAAGGCAUUAAUAAUUUAGAGGGACGAUAAGACCCUAUAAAACUUUAUAUAUUAUAUUUUUAGCAAGAUUGUUUAUUAGUUGUUAAUGGUUAAUUAUAUUUUGCUGGGGCGGCAGGGAUAUAAUUUUAACUGUCUUUAAUGUGAAAUAUUUAUUAAUAGAUAAUGGUCCUUUUUUGGGGAGUUAAGAUUAAGUUACUUUAGGGAUAACAGCAUAAUUUCCUCUGAGAGCUCUUAUCGAAGACGGUAGUUGUGACCUCGAUGUUGAAUUAAAUAAUUCUUUUAGGUGUAGGAGCUUGGAAAGAAGGCCUGUUCGGCCUGUAAAUAUUUACAUGAUUUGAGUUCAG
rnacentral:rRNA from 1 species